CCUACGGGAGACAGCAGUGGGGAAUAUUGGGCAAUGGGCGCAAGCCUGACCCAGCAACGCCGCGUGAAGGAAGAAGGCUUUCGGGUUGUAAACUUCUUUUGACAGGGAAGAGUAGAGGACGGUGCCUGACGAAUAAGCUACGGCUAACUACGUGCAAGCAGCCGCGGUAAUACGUAGGUGGCAAGCGUUGUCCGGAUUUACUGGGUGUAAAGGGCGUGUAGCCGGGUUGAUAAGUCAGAUGUGAAAUCCUGCGGCUUAACCGCAGAACUGCAUGUGAAACUGUUGAUCUUGAGUACUGGAGAGGCGGACGGAAUUCAUGGUGUAGCGGUGAAAGG
rnacentral:rRNA from 1 species